GAGUUUGAUCCUGGCUCAGGAUGAACGCUGGCGGCGUGCUUAACACAUGCAAGUCGAACGGGGAUGCUUAUGGAAGGAGUGCUUGCACUUUGGAAAUGAGUAUCUUAGUGGCGGACGGGUGAGUAACGCGUGGGUAACCUGCCCCAUACCGGGGGAUACCACCUGGAAACAGGUGCUAAUACCGCAUAAGCACACGGGAGCGCAUGCUCCUGUGUGAAAAACUCUGGUGGUAUGGGAUGGACCCGCGUCUGAUUAGCCAGUUGGCAGGGUAACGGCCUACCAAAGCGACGAUCAGUAGCCGGCCUGAGAGGGUGGACGGCCACAUUGGGACUGAGACACGGCCCAAACUCCUACGGGAGGCAGCAGUGGGGAAUAUUGCACAAUGGGGGAAACCCUGAUGCAGCGACGCCGCGUGAGUGAAGAAGUAUUUCGGUAUGUAAAGCUCUAUCAGCAGGAACGAGACAAGACGGUACCUGACUAAGAAGCCCCGGCUAACUACGUGCCAGCAGCCGCGGUAAUACGUAGGGGGCAAGCGUUAUCCGGAAUCACUGGGUGUAAAGGGAGCGUAGACGGCUGAGCAAGCCUGAAGUGAAGGGCGGGGGCCCAACCCCUGGACUGCUUUGGGAACUGUACGGCUGGAGUGCAGGAGAGGUAAGUGGAAUUCCUAGUGUAGCGGUGAAAUGCGUAGAUAUUAGGAGGAACACCAGUGGCGAAGGCGGCUUACUGGACUGUA
rnacentral:rRNA from 1 species